rnacentral:rRNA from 1 species
AACGAACGCUGGCGGCGUGCCUAACACAUGCAAGUCGAGGGAGAAAACCCGCAAGGGCGAGUAAACCGGCGAACGGGUGCGUAACACGUGGAUAAUCUACCUCGGUGACCGGGACAACUGGCCGAAAGGCUUGCUAAUACCGGACGAGCCCACGACGUCUUCGGACGACGAGGGAAAAGGCGGCCUCUGCAAGCAAGCUGUCGCACCGAGAUGAGUCCGCGGCCCAUCAGCUAGUUGGCGGGGUAAAGG